CAGAGUUAUCCAACUCCCAAACCCAUGUGAACUUAUCUCUUUGUUGCCUCGGCGCAAGCUACCCGGGACCUCGCGCCCCGGGCGGCCCGCCGGCGGACAAACCAUAACUCUUGUUAUCUUAGUUGAUUAUCUGAGUGUCUUAUUUAAUAAGUCA
rnacentral:misc_RNA from 1 species